UUUACGAGUGAUGGUCGACAUUUUUCUCUUAGUUCGUUGCGCUAUUUCCAAACUUUGUAAAUCAGAAACUAAGCUAUAUAUCUAAUUUAUUUCAGAAUUUAGCAUCUGGAGUUUAAUUUCUCAAGUGCAUAUCCAUCAUCUAGCAAGCAAUUUUCAGAGGUUCUAUAUCGGAUUUUGUUAGCGCGCACUCAUUAAUGCCACUCUCGGUAUAUCUCUGAUCUAUACCGGUUUUUGCUCGAGACAGAGGACCAUCAGAUACCGGAGGAGUUACCAUGGCAAUCAUCAAACAAUGUUGCUGUUGUAGCGUUAGGAGGGGAUCUAUAAUGACAGGAAUCUACGGAAUCCUCUACUCCAUCAUCAUCAUAGCACACACAGCCCUGCUGUUUAAGGCCUAUUCUGUAUGGGAUCUCAGAGGCAAAAUAGAACCACAUUUUGUGGUCAAGCAGUUUUAUAAAAUAGGUAAGUUUAUGUAUUACAAAAACUAAAUAAAGACGACUUUAUAGAGGCAACCGUAAUAGUUAUCCCUCUCGUGAUUUUAAUGGGAAUAAAAGAUCCAUGAUACAUAUAAUCCUAAACCAUCAAUUCUUUUACCGUAAAAUAAAAAAAAUGUAAACAAAAAUAAAACAAUAAUCAUUAAAUCCACAUACAAACAAAGAACACAACAACCCUUGAUAGAAGUUUAGAAAUGGCCCAGUGCCCCAUUGGCCUAUUUGAUAUUCAUUUACAAUUACUUACGACAAAUAUAUUGUUUGAAGUGCUUUGAGAAUGGUCUGUAGUAUUCCAUACCGUGACUGGGUAAAUAUUCACAACUUUAAAAUAACA